GACGAACGCUGGCGGCGUGCUUAACACAUGCAAGUCGUACGGUAAGGCCCUUUCGGGGGUACACGAGUGGCGAACGGGUGAGUAACACGUGAGUAACCUGCCCACAACUUUGGGAUAACGCUAGGAAACUGGUGCUAAUACUGGAUAUGUGCUCCUGCUGCAUGGUGGGGGUUGGAAAGCUCCGGCGGUUGUGGAUGGACUCGCGGCCUAUCAGCUUGUUGGUGGGGUAGUGGCCUACCAAGGCGGCGACGGGUAGCCGGCCUGAGAGGGUGACCGGCCACAGUGGGACUGAGAUACGGCCCAGACUCCUACGGGAGGCAGCAGUGGGGAAUAUUGCACAAGGGGCGCAAGCCUGAUGCAGCAACGCCGCGUGCGGGAUGACGGCCUUCGGGUUGUAAACCGCUUUCAGCAGGGACGAAGCUUUUUGUGACGGUACCUGCAGAAGAAGCACCGGCUAACUACGUG
rnacentral:rRNA from 1 species